rnacentral:misc_RNA from 1 species
CAACCCUUAAGCCCCUGUUGCUUAGCGUUGGGAGCCUACGGCAGCGUAGCUCCCCAAAGUUAGUGGCGUGGUCGGUUCACACUCCAGACGUAGUAGAUUUUCACCUCGCCUGUAGCUGGACCGGUCCCCUGCCGUAAAACACCCCAAUUUCUCAA